UACGGGGGGUGCAAGCGUUGUUCGGAAUAACUGGGCGUAAAGGGCUCGUAGGCGGCCAACUAAGUCGGACGUGAAAUCCCCAGGCUCAACCUGGGAACUGCGUCUGAUACUGGAUGGCUUGAAUCCGGGAGAGGGAUGCAGAAUUCCAGGUGUAGCGGUGAAAUGCGUAGAUAUCUGGAGGAAUACCGGUGGCGAAGGCGGCAUCCUGGACCGGCAUUGACGCUGAGGAGCGAAAGCCAGGGGAGCAAACGGG
rnacentral:rRNA from 1 species